GCCGAAGCUGCGGUGGUGAGCGUGAAAACCAUCUGCGACGAUAAGCUCGCAUGGGACCGCCGGAGCCCCGCAGCGCCGGAGCCGUGACAGAAGUUAUGCUUGCUGCAUGUUGCAUGCUUACUUCCAUGCUGGAGUUAUUUUUAUAUAAAUUUAAUACUUGAAGAAUUUUUGAAGAGCAUUUAUUUUAUUUAACUGACACCUCUAUUUCAUUCCUAACUCUACGGGAACUCCAUGGGAACAGAACGGCUGGUCGUGAGUGG
rnacentral:lncRNA from 1 species